UACUUAGUUCUUCUGAGUUGCCAUCUUGUC
rnacentral:piRNA from 1 species